rnacentral:rRNA from 1 species
CGGCAUGCUUUACACAUGCAAGUCGAACGGCAGCGGGGGCUUCGGCCUGCCGGCGAGUGGCGAACGGGUGAGUAAUGCAUCGGAACGUGCCCAAGUCGUGGGGGAUAACUACGCGAAAGCGUGGCUAAUACCGCAUACGUCCUGAGGGAGAAAGCGGGGGAUCUUCGGACCUCGCGCGAUUGGAGCGGCCGAUGUCGGAUUAGCUAGUUGGUGAGGUAAAGGCUCACCAAGGCGACGAUCCGUAACGGGUCUGAAAGGAUGAUCCGCCACACUGGGACUGAGACACGGCCCAAACUCCUACGGGAGGCAGCAGUGGGGAAUUUUGGACAAUGGGGGCAACCCUG